rnacentral:rRNA from 1 species
UACGUAGGGUGCAAGCGUUGUCCGGAAUUAUUGGGCGUAAAGAGCUCGUAGGCGGUCCGUCGCGUCUGCCGUGAAAACCCGGGGCUCAACCCCGGGCCUGCGGUGGAUACGGGCGGACUAGAGUCCGGUAGGGGAGACUGGAAUUCCUGGUGUAGCGGUGAAAUGCGCAGAUAUCAGGAGGAACACCGAUGGCGAAGGCAGGUCUCUGGGCCGGUACUGACGCUGAGGAGCGAAAGCGUGGGGAGCGAACAGG